rnacentral:rRNA from 1 species
AGCGAACGCUGGCGGCAUGCUUAACACAUGCAAGUCGCACGGGCAGCAAUGUCAGUGGCGGACGGGUGAGUAACGCGUAGGAACGUGUCCUGAGGUGGGGGACAACCCCGGGAAACUGGGGCUAAUACCGCAUAUGGGCUGAGGCCCAAAGCCGAGAGGCGCCUUUGGAGCGGCCUGCGUCCGAUUAGGUAGUUGGUGGGGUAAAGGCCUACCAAGCCUGCGAUCGGUAGCUGGUCUGAGAGGACGACCAGCCACACUGGGACUGAGACACGGCCCAGACUCCCACGGGAGGCAGCAGUGGGGAAUAUUGGACAAUGGGCGAAAGCCUGAUCCAGCAAUGCCGCGUGGGUGAAGAAGGUCUUCGGAUCGUAAAGCCCUUUCGACGGGGACGAUGAUGACGGUACCCGUAGAAGAAGCCCCGGCUAACUUCGUG